rnacentral:rRNA from 1 species
GAUGAACGCUAGCGGCAGGCUUAACACAUGCAAGUCGAGGGGCAGCAUGACACGGAGAUUCGUCGAAGUGUUGAUGGCGACCGGCGCAAGGGUGCGUAACGCGUGAGCAACUUGCCCGUUUCAGGGGGAUAACCGGUGGAAACGCCGACUAAUACCCCAUGGCAUCGUCUGGAGGCAUCUCCAUUCGAUUAAAGAGUUUCGGAAACGGAUAGGCUCGCGUGACAUUAGCUAGACGGCGGGGUAACGGCCCACCGUGGCGACGAUGUCUAGGGGUUCUGAGAGGAAGGUCCCCCACACUGGAACUGAGACACGGUCCAGACUCCUACGGGAGGCAGCAGUGAGGAAUAUUGGUCAAUGGUCUGACGACUGAACCAGCCAUGCCGCGUGAAGGUCACGGCCCUAUGGGUCUUAAACUUCUUUUGCGAGGGAGCAAUAAGGCGCACGUGUGCGUCGAUGAGAGUACCUCGCGAAUAAGCAUCGGCUAACU